GUCUAUGGCUAUGCUACCCUGAACAAGCCCGAUCCUGUCUGAUCUUGGAAGCUAAACAGGGUCGGGCCUGCUUAGCACUUGGAUGGGAGACCACCUAGGAGGACCAGGAGCUGUAGGUG
rnacentral:rRNA from 1 species